ensembl:snoRNA
UUGUCUUCUGCCCUUUGCCUGCCUGCUAUGCUUCAUCCUAACAGAAGAAUUGAACAGGAUACACAGCAAUCUCCUGCUCCAUAUAGGGGAACAGUCCUGAACACAUGGCUGUCUCUUAAAGGUGUGAGAAGAUAAG